rnacentral:rRNA from 1 species
CAGUCGCCGCGGGAAUACGUAGGGUGCGAGCGUUAAUCGGAAUUACUGGGCGUAAAGCGUGCGCAGGCGGUUCGUUAAGACAGAUGUGAAAUCCCCGGGCUUAACCUGGGAACUGCAUUUGUGACUGGCGAGCUAGAGUAUGGCAGAGGGGGGUAGAAUUCCACGUGUAGCAGUGAAAUGCGUAGAGAUGUGGAGGAAUACCGAUGGCGAAGGCAGCCCCCCGGGCCAAUACUGACGCUCAUGCACGAAAGCGUGGGGAGCAAACAGGAUUAGAUACCCGGGUAGUCCCUGUCUCUUAUAC